rnacentral:lncRNA from 10 species
UAAUCUCUAUAAUCAUUUAAUUUUUCUUUUUGGAAAAUGUAUGUAUACAUACACACAGUUUCCAUAAAAAAACAUAGAUAGUAAAGCUGAUUAAAAUCUUCCUGUCCUAUUGGUACCAGCACAUGAAGCCCUUCUACAAAAUUCCUGACGGACUGGGAAUAAAAAUUCCUAGUGACAGCCCACUCCUUCUCAGGCAGGUGUGAUUGUUUGAAAUCUCUCCCAAUAUUGAGAUGAAACCUGCUUCCCUGUAACUUCCCUGUAAUUCUGUGGGUCCCUUGUAGCCACAGAGAAGGCAGCAAUCAGUAGGGGAAGUGCUAUAAAAAUAUACUAUCCCGGCCAAGCGUGGUGGCUCAUGUCUGUAAUCCCAGCACUUUGGGAGGCCAAGGCAGGAGAAUUGCUUGAACCUGGGAGGCAGAGGUUGCAGUGAGCCAAGAUCACACCACUGCACUCCAGCCUGGGUGACAGAGUGAGAC